GUCGAGCGAGUUGAUUCUCUUCGGAGAUGAAGCUAGCGGCGGACGGGUGAGUAACACGUGGGCAACCUGCCUCAUAGAGGGGAAUAGCCUCCCGAAAGGGAGAUUAAUACCGCAUAACAUUGUAGCUUCGCAUGAAGUAGCAAUUAAAGGAGCAAUCCGCUAUGAGAUGGGCCCGCGGCGCAUUAGCUAGUUGGUGAGGUAACGGCUCACCAAGGCGACGAUGCGUAGCCGACCUGAGAGGGUGAUCGGCCACAUUGGGACUGAGACACGGCCCAGACUCCUACGGGAGGCAGCAGUGGGGAAUAUUGCACAAUGGGGGAAACCCUGAUGCAGCAACGCCGCGUGAGUGAUGACGGCCUUCGGGUUGUAAAGCUCUGUCUUCAGGGACGAUAAUGACGGUACCUGAGGAGGAAGCCACGGCUAACUACGUGCCAGCAGCCGCGGUAAUACGUAGGUGGCGAGCGUUGUCCGGAUUUACUGGGCGUAAAGGGAGCGUAGGCGGACUUUUAAGUGAGAUGUGAAAUACCCGGGCUCAACUUGGGUGCUGCAUUUCAAACUGGAAGUCUAGAGUGCAGGAGAGGAGAAUGGAAUUCCUAGUGUAGCGGUGAAAUGCGUAGAGAUUAGGAAGAACACCAGUGGCGAAGGCGAUUCUCUGGACUGUAACUGACGCUGAGGCUCGAAAGCGUGGGGAGCAAACAG
rnacentral:rRNA from 1 species